GAUGAACGCUGGCGGCGUGCCUAAUACAUGCAAGUCGAGCGAACAGACGAGGAGCUUGCUCCUCUGACGUUAGCGGCGGACGGGUGAGUAACACGUGGAUAACCUACCUAUAAGACUGGGAUAACUUCGGGAAACCGGAGCUAAAACCGGAUAAUAUAUUGAACCGCAUGGUUCAAUAGUGAAAGACGGUUUUGCUGUCACUUAUAGAUGGAUCCGCGCCGCAUUAGCUAGUUGGUAAGGUAACGGCUUACCAAGGCAACGAUGCGUAGCCGACCUGAGAGGGUGAUCGGCCACACUGGAACUGAGACACGGUCCAGACUCCUACGGGAGGCAGCAGUAGGGAAUCUUCCGCAAUGGGCGUAAGCCUGACGGAGCAACGCCGCGUGAGUGAUGAAGGUCUUCGGAUCGUAAAACUCUGUUAUUAGGGAAGAACAAAUGUGUAAGUAACUAUGCACGUCUUGACGGUACCUAAUCAGAAAGCCACGGCUAACUACGUG
rnacentral:rRNA from 1 species